CCGCCCGGGGAUGGAGGACCAAGCUGGGAGGGGGGCUGAGAAGCGAAAGAGAUACAUCAAAAAGAGGGAAGGAGAGGGACAGGGAAGCUAGGGCGACUGAGGAUACUCCGAGGUCUAGUCCGGCUUGACAGCAGGAGCUAGAGAGCUUUGCGAGCCGCGGGGCUGGGAAGUCAGGGCAUGGGGGCCAGGCCGGCCCUCCGGUUCUUUCAGCUCCCCGGGCCCCCGACUUUAAAGUGCUCAAGUUGGGGUCGGCGCCAUCAUGACGCCCAAGACUGUGAGGAAAGCAAGAGCUAUGGUGCAUUCUGUAAGACUACAGCAGCGGCUUUCCAGGCACAGCCUAGUGGGCUGGAUACACCGUGACAGCCAUUAACUCCCUACACUGCUGUCUUUGCAUCCUGUCUUUAAGCAGUGUCUUCAAGAGAAGAUGCUGGAACUCAGCCAUUUUGACACAAUCAUAAAACUGAAGUUUGAUGUUUAGAGGUCAAUACUCAUUAUCUUCAUUUUGAAAAUAUUUUGUUUUGGAGAUGCUGGAGAAACCCAGAAAACUUCAGGUUGCUUUUGGCUAUGGUCUGUAGCAUAGCAGUAGAAAGCAAACUAAGAGUG